UGGGGAAUAUUGCACAAUGGGCGCAAGCCUGAUGCAGCCAUGCCGCGUGUGUGAAGAAGGCCUUCGGGUUGUAAAGCACUUUCAGCGAGGAGGAAGGUGGUGAACUUAAUACGUUCAUCAAUUGACGUUACUCGCAGAAGAAGCACCGGCUAACUCCGUGCCAGCAGCCGCGGUAAUACGGAGGGUGCAAGCGUUAAUCGGAAUUACUGGGCGUAAAGCGCACGCAGGCGGUUUGUUAAGUCAGAUGUGAAAUCCCCGGGCUCAACCUGGGAACUGCAUUUGAAACUGGCAAGCUAGAGUCUCGUAGAGGGGGGUAGAAUUCCAGGUGUAGCGGUGAAAUGCGGUAGAGAUCUGGAGGAAUACCGGUGGCGAAGGCGGCCCCCCUGGACGAAGACUGACGCUCAGGUGCGAAAGCGUGGGGCAGCAAACAGGAUUAGAUACCCUGGUAGUCCACGCUGUAAACGAUGUCGAUUUGGAGGUUGUGCCCUUGAGGCGUGGCUUCCGGAGCUAACGCGUUAAA
rnacentral:rRNA from 1 species